UUAAAAUUGUUGCAGUUAAAACGCUCGUAGUUGAAUUUCAAAGAAUCAAUAUUUUAAGUAAUAAUUUUGCUAUAAGAUGCUUAGACAAUACAACGUAUCUGUUCUUUGCAUUCCUUAUGCAAAAUGUGUUCUUAUUAUAAAAAGGAUUCUUUUUAAAAUCUCUUUUGCUAUUUUUUAGUAUUGGAGAUUUUGUUACUUUGAGUAAAUUAGAGUGUUCAAAGCAAACAGUUAAAGCAUUUUUACUGCGUUUGAAUACUACAGCAUGGAAUAACAAAAUUGAACAAGUCAGAAUUCUGUUCUUUUUUCUUAUUUUGGCUUAGUUACGAUUAAUAGGAGUAGCUUGGGGGCAUUUGUAUUCAGAUGUCAGAGGUGAAAUUCUUAGAUUUUCUGGAGACAAACAACUGCGAAAGCAUUUGCCUAAUAUAUUUCCAUUAAUCAAGAACGAAAGUUAAGGGAGCGAAGACGAUCAGAUACCGUCGUAAUCUUAACCAUAAACUAUACCAACUAGGUUUUGGAUGAAAAGUUUUUAAAUAAGAAAAUUCCUUUCGGGGAAAUUUCUUAGAUUGCUUCCUUCAGUACCUUAUGAGAAAUCAAAGUCUUUGGGUUCUGGGGCGAGUAUUCGCGCAAGCGAGAAAGUUAAAAGAAUUGACGGAAGGGCACCACCAGGCGUGGAGCUUGCGGCUUAAUUUGACUCAACACGGGGAAACUCACUAGUUUAAGACAAGAGUAGGAUUGACAGAUUAAUAGCUCUUUCUUGAUUUCUUGGAUGGUGAUGCAUGGCCGUUUUUAGUUCGUGAAUAUGAUUUGUCUGGUUAAUUCCGAUAACGAACGAGAUCUUAACCUGCUAAUUAGCGGCGAAUACGUCAUAUUCUUAUGCGAAUUUGAAUAUAGCUGAAUUUGCUUAUUUUGAAGAAUACAUUAGGAUACAAUUAAUGUGUCCUUUUCCCUAUUAUUCUUAAUUCGCAAUUCUUGCUGUUUCUCUUUUGCAUUAGAAUGUAUUCGUUUGAUUGUAAAGCUUCUUAGAGGAACGAUGUGUGUCUAACACAAGGAAGUUUAAGGCAACAACAGG
rnacentral:rRNA from 1 species